AGGCGAGGCGGACGCGGACGGAGAGACGUCCUGCGCGGACACUCGAGUUGCUCGACGAGGGAAGAUACGAGCGGCGCGUCACCGGAUUCGCGGAUGACACCCUCCUUCAUUGGACUCAACUAUAAAGCGCAUGAUGCCGCCUGCCGUCCAGGGACCAAACAGCUCGUAGCUCAACGCUCUCAAGCAAAGGUUUUGGAUUUUUCAGUAGAAUGCAGAUGCUCCCGCCCCUAUUACCCUGUACGUCUCCCAGCAUCGCUCCAUUGUAACCCAGAGAUGCCACGAAAGCUCAGCAGAGGACCUACUUCCUUAGGGCAACAGUAGACCUAAACCUGCAAAACACAAUGAUGGUAAACUUCUACGCUGCCAUAAUUGAGUCCAUCCUUCUCCUUACCAUCUGGUAUGCUGCUGCCACCGCCAAGGACAAGGGCAGAGGGUUAGUGAAUUCAAAGCUGGCAAUCCUCUAUGAUUGGUAGUUCUGGCACAAAAUAUUCUUUUUGGGGUACCUUCCCUCUGUUGAAGGCCGUGAUUCAUCAGGACCAAGACUUUCCUGUCCACAGUUAUUUCAACGUACACUUAAUUCAUUCCGAAUUCCGGUUAUUGUCUUAUAUAAAGUACUAUAUUAAUGCUUAUCGUUAUGCACUGAUCCCCAAGCCAAAUUUCUUUGCAAAUGUAUUUGACAAUGAAACAAUUCUGCUUCUCACCUCUCUUAAACUCUUAAACACAGGCGCUCCAUCGGGGGCCCUUAGCUUCACCCUGUGACACUUACAACACUACUGUUAGUGGAAGAAUGGAGACCAGGUAAAACAUACCUUAUUUUUAUUCUGUAUUCCCCCUCUAGCGUCUCAGGGAUGAAAAGUCAGUUUCUACUUGUUGUCAGGAUCCCACCAGCUUCAAUCACUCCUCCCACUCGUUCACAGUCCCCUGAAUUCUAAUCACCAUCACCUGCACCUCAUCAGUUCACCUUUUAUAUGUGGCUCCUCUUCCCACACUCAGUGUCUGGUCUCAUCUCUACAGGACACCACAGACUCCAAGCUACGUUCCUGAAAUCCCUACCGGCUGAUCCAAGGGACUCUUCCAGUCCGUGACCUGGAACUCGGACUAUGUCCUGUUAACGUUCCAUCCUGAUCAUCUGCCUGCCUAUUCCUCAUAUCUCCGUCUGCUUCCAUUAUAGUGUCAAUAAACUAUUGAACUCGCCUCA